GAUAACUUCGGGAAACCGAAGCUAAUACCGGAUAGGAUCUUCUCCUUCAUGGGAGAUGAUUGAAAGAUGGUUUCGGCUAUCACUUACAGAUGGGCCCGCGGUGCAUUAGCUAGUUGGUGAGGUAACGGCUCACCAAGGCNACGAUGCAUAGCCGACCUGAGAGGGUGAUCGGCCACACUGGGACUGAGACACGGCCCAGACUCCUACGGGAGGCAGCAGUAGGGAAUCUUCCGCAAUGGACGAAAGUCUGACGGAGCNACGCCGCGUGAGUGAUGAAGGCUUUCGGGUCGUAAAACUCUGUUGUUAGGGAAGAACAAGUACAAGAGUAACUGCUNGUACCUUGACGGUACCUAACCAGAAAGCCACGGCUAACUACGUGCCAGCAGCCGCGGUAAUACGUAGGUGGCAAGCGUUAUC
rnacentral:rRNA from 1 species